rnacentral:tRNA from 1 species
GGGGGCUUAGCUCAGUCGGUUAGAGCAUCGGACUCAUAAUCCGCCGGUCGUCAGUUCAAGCCUGUCAGCCCCCA